CCUACGGGCGGCAGCAGUGAGGAAUAUUGGUCAAUGGGCGCGAGCCUGAACCAGCCAAGUAGCGUGAAGGAUGACUGCCCUACGGGUUGUAAACUUCUUUUAUAAAGGAAUAAAGUGAGGCACGUGUGCCUUUUUGUAUGUACUUUAUGAAUAAGGAUCGGCUAACUCCGUGCCAGCAGCCGCGGUAAUACGGAGGAUCCGAGCGUUAUCCGGAUUUAUUGGGUUUAAAGGGUGCGUAGGCGGCCUUUUAAGUCAGCGGUGAAAGUCUGUGGCUCAACCAUAGAAUUGCCGUUGAAACUGGGAGGCUUGAGUAUGUUUGAGGCAGGCGGAAUGCGUGGUGUAGCGGUGAAAUGCUUAGAUAUCACGCAGAACUCCGAUUGCGAAGGCAGCUUACUAAACUGCCACUGACAUUGAUGCUCGAAAGUGUGGGUAUCAAACAGGAUUAGAUACCCGGGUAGUC
rnacentral:rRNA from 1 species